rnacentral:ncRNA from 1 species
AUGGAGUAACUGAAAAUCCAUAAAGAGUAGGAG